CGCGUGUAGAAUCGCUUUCAUAAUUUGCUCUUCCGUCGUCGAUUUAUCGCGAAAAAAAAACAGGAAUAUGGCAGGCCAACGCCAUCAGCGCAAGUGGCAGCGGUAGCAGAAGUGGCGAAUCCAGGAGAUACCAAGCAGCAGACCAAAACAAAGGAACAAUAAGAGGACACGCCUUGGGUCACGCUGAUCCACCUCAAGCCGAUCAUGGACAGUGCCCCCUCGGUGACGAAACCGUUGCAGUUUUGCACCGCCCUCAUAGUGUUCCCCACCGGACAGGUUGAAACGUAACGUGUGCUCACGUCACCGGGUCACCGACGGUGAGCGAAUUUAGCAAAAUUCUGAUUUCGAAAAGAUGAACGAAAAUAAGAAAAAAAAACUUCAAAGCUUCCGGCAGAACGCAAGCAUGAAUCUGACUAGUAUCAAGGCGAAUCCAGCUAUGGUUUCGCCACAGUUUCGCCGUACGUGUUUCGGUUAUAGAAGUGCCACUAAACCACCUGGCAGGCUCGAAAUGAUAAGAAAUACAGAACCCUUUUAUUGUGCGUUUGGACAAUCUUUUCAAGGAAUUUAUUAUCAAAUGAUUAAAAAUUUACAGAAAUAAAUAAACUGCGACAAAAAUCCUUGCAUCUUGUUUGCUGUGUGAUUCUUUUGCCAACAGGCCGGAUAGAGCUGAAGCUUUGAUUCGUCGUAGAAUCCUGCUAUCCAGACUCCAGCAUGUAUUUUAAAUUGACCGUUCGAUUUCCGCCGGUUUUUGAGA